rnacentral:rRNA from 1 species
UACGUAGGGAGCAAGCGUUGUCCGGAAUCAUUGGGCGUAAAGCGCGCGUAGGUGGCCUCAUAAGUCCGCUGUGAAAGUCAAAGGCUCAACCUUUGAAAGCCGGUGGAUACUGUGAGGCUAGAGUACGGAAGAGGCGAGUGGAAUUCCUGGUGUAGCGGUGUAAUGCGCAGAUAUCAGGAGGAACACCAAUAGCGAAGGCAGCUCGCUGGGACGUUACUGACACUGAGGCGCGAAAGCGUGGGGAGCGAACAGG